rnacentral:piRNA from 1 species
UGUUUACAGCAGCAGGACUAAUACAG